UCCUCCCCUCCUCACCUCCUCUUGUCAUAGUUAGCGGGCUCGGGGGUGGAGGUCGAGGCUUUUCACACUCGGAGUGGCUCCCGGGGAGCGCUCUGUGUUUUGGGAGCUUGCUGAGGGCCCCCGCCCGCCAUUUUCUCUCCCUCAGGAGCCUCUGUUGGCGACCCUGCGGUUGCCUCAUACAUCACACCUUAGUGCUUCAAGCCGGUUACUUUCCUUACUUCAGGGAAAAAGAACGCAAAUUAAGUUCCCUCUUACGUGGCCGUACAGGGCAAACUUUUCGGGGUUUUGCCCGCCAGUCCCAAGUGAAGGCGUAGAGAUGGACUCCGUGCUGGAGAAGGUCCCCCGUAGCUUUGUGUGCUGCAGGACACACAUCAUCCUUUGCUUUAACCAACACCAUAGCCUACUUGGAAUGCAAAGGUCUAUGUAAAUAUACCCCCUGACUGCAGCUGCUGUGGAAAAAGAAGUAAUUAUAAGAAGGGUUUACUCAUGUACUAUAAAACUGGGAGAAAAUGAGAGACUGGUAAGGCUUAAAGUUGCUAAGUAAGGAGGACUGGUAAGGCUAAAGUUGCUAUCUUUUUAUUGUUUAGAAAAGAUUUUUUCAAGCUUUCUUGAAGGUUUUAUAAUCUGACAUGUCAUAAUGAUGUUCCCUACUCUUCUUUGAGUCUAGCAGGUGAAAGAAGCAGCAUUUACAGAAGAAGAAAAAGGAAAAUCACUGAAGGAAAUGUGUAAGUUGAGUGAAAGUUAGUAAUCCUGGAAUUGGCUCUUAUUACCAGACAGAAAGAGAUAGUAUUUGUGGUUUGGUGAGUUAGCUAUUUUUGAUGUUGUUUUUCUACAUAAGCUACUGAUAUAAUUGCUAAAGAAAAACAUCAGUGAAAAGAUCAGAACAUCCUGAGAGCACAGAUAGAGCUUAUAUUGUGUAUACAUUUUGGAGAUAUUAAACUCAUUUAUUUUUAGCAAGUGUCACCAGUUUCUCAGAGAUGAAUCGAUUCUUUUUAUGUGCUCAUUGAGGCACUUGGAACGCACAAGUCCUAGCCUGUCAACAAAUGCCAGCUAUUUUGAGAAGCACACUUUCUGCUGUUAGGGAAACUUCUUGUUCUUGUACAUAAGGCCACAUAGCUCCAGUCUGUUUCUCCCCAGUGUUUCUGUGGUUUUGCUAGGCAGACUUGUGUUACCUGCAGGAAAAAUAUGAGCCAUAAAAUAACUUACCUUCCUUCUGAAGUCCUUAGUCAUUGCAACUUGAAUGUACUUUGACUUCAGCAAUUCGAUAUCAGAAGGUUGUUCAGGUGGCAGUUUAUUACAGACUCUCCCAGGCAGCUGUUUUUCUUAUCAUUGUUUCCAUUAACAUAGUGCUCUGGGAAAAGAAAAAAGACAAGAAAAGGAGUGUCCUGUAUUUUCAUACACAAACCCCACCCUCUCCUUGGACUUCCUUCCACAGGAAGCACAUGGGCAGGAUUCAGGAAGACACGUGAAAACAUGUCUGCAGUAAAACCAAUUGUACCAAAUGUCUUCAGAUGGGAACAUUUAAAAGAAGAAAAUGUGUGAGAAAAGAGAGGCAAAGACUUGUUGAGAUUUUUCAGGCUCCAGUGUCAUGACAGUUUUGAAGAUACAGAUCAAUAACCUUAAAUGUCAUAAAAAUUGUCCUAACCAAUCUAUUUGUUCUAGGAUCCCAACCUACAAAUGAACAUAGUGUACUUUUACAUCAUCCCUUUUGUAAUGAAGAAAAAGGUCUUCUGGAAAGACCCUUAAAGCACGCACAAAAUUUAGGUUAAAACAUAAAGAGGAAAUAAAAGACACAUGAACCCAGCUGCACGAUGGCUGAGAGGACUUGCUCUUUCACAACACAAAUAUUCAAUACUAAUGCUCAUCUUGCUUUGUGCUCCUGGGUGAGUCAGAAGGAUCCAGACUGUGGUUUGAGAAGUGCAGUAACUUCAGCACUACCAUAAAGAACCCCCUGUUCUCUCACUUACCAGUUUUGUCCUGACUUGCUGAACAGUACAGCAGUACAUGUCACAGUGCAGCAGAGACCAGCCCAGAUAGCAUGCACAGAGAACUGCUGGGGGAUCAGCUUCACUGCCUCACAGUGUUUCACUGCACCCUGCUCUCAGCAGCAGCAAAUUAUAAGAUCUGACACGCUCAAGAAAACACUAAAUCCUCAAAACAUUGUUUGUCAAGUUGGAUCCCUAACCCAGGCUAACUUUCUGCAGUGUGAAAGUCACCAGAGCUAAACUGGUAUUAAACAGAUUACUCCAAAAUAUCCAAAGCAGUUUCUUUCUGUUACUUUUAAUAAUCAUUUCUCUGCACCUAUUUCUAGUUGUUCAGUCACAAUAGCUCAGUGCAGGCAAAACUGAACUGAAAUGAAACACAAGCAUAUAGAUGUCUUUAAGCAAUGUUUUAAUUUUGCAAAGCCACUGCACUUGACUGACAGCUAACAAUAAAAAGAGAAAAACAUUCUAAUUCUGAACUUGAUGCAAAUGACUUUUGAAACAUCUAUUCCACGCCAUCAAGUGGCAUAACCAGGCAGUACUAUUGUAAGAGUCAACAUUUCCAGAAAUUGCUUUCCACGCUAAAACUAAGAGUCACUCCAGCACACUCUCUUUAAAGGCAGAAGGUAAAGGAAAGGGGCAAUUAAAAAGGAGGUUUCAGCUUAAGAAUACAUUAAAAUAUGAGUGUUUCAAAGAAAAUUAUAAAAUAAAGACGACUUUUCACUGUUAGCCUUUAAUUUUGUGGGGCUUGUUAUCAAAUCUAAGAUCUUCCAAAUUUUGUGAUGUACAUUCUACAGUCUCAUCUUAAAUCUCAAGAAAGCUCCUCUUAGCCAUUGCAUUUAAACACAGUGUCAAGCUUCAAAAAAGGAAGGGGGUGGAAAAGGCAAAAGAAGUGGAGCAAGCAGACAAAUGCUUAAAAACUGUUCAGCAUUCACAAGAACAGCAAUUCUAGGACAACCUCAGCUACUCACAAGAAACAAGAUGAAACCCCUUGUGUGAGGGAAAAUUCACCUUCCAUUUAAAAUAAAAACCCAACAUCCUCCAAAAAAAUCCCUCUCUAGAUUCCAAUCAGAGUAAUUUCCUCCCACCAUGGAACUACCUUUUGAAAGCUACAUCAAGGAUUUUCUUUAAGUUCUUCGGUUACAGCCCAUGGCUACUACCAGUAUGUUUGGUUAGACAGAAAUCACAACCUAAACCAGCGUCUAUGAGAGCUACCAAACUCCAAUUAGUAAACUGCUACUGAU